UACGGAGGGGGCUAGCGUUGUUCGGAAUUACUGGGCGUAAAGCGCACGUAGGCGGCUUUGUAAGUUAGAGGUGAAAGCCCGGGGCUCAACUCCGGAAUUGCCUUUAAGACUGCAUCGCUAGAAUUGUGGAGAGGUAAGUGGAAUUCCGAGUGUAGAGGUGAAAUUUGUAGAUAUUCGGAAGAACACCAGUGGCGAAGGCGACUUACUGGACACAUAUUGACGCUGAGGUGCGAAAGCGUGGGGGAGCAAACAGG
rnacentral:rRNA from 1 species